rnacentral:miRNA from 1 species
AAUUCUCAAACAUUGUAUAAAAUGACACACAUUCCAUAUAUGAGGUGUGAUUAAAACAUAAGACAAGUCACACAUGAAAAUGACUCUCAUUACUUUAUAAUCACACCUCAUACAUAAUCUUAGGCAAUCA